CACACUGGAGAAACGAACGCGUUCGUUCCUCUUCUGAGUAUUUUAGACUUGUGUGAGUUCUUCCAUAUUUUUGUUUUUUGUUUUUGUUUUUUUUUUUUUUUUUUGUGCAAGGCCGCCAGCAAGGAGGCCUGGAGCCUUGAAUGCUGACAGCCUCCAUUAGCGUUAAUGCGGGCCUCUUAUCUCCCAGGCUCUCCUGCGCUCCCCCCUCGCUCGCUCUUGUCUGAUGGUUCACUGACACCGUUGACAAGGCUGACACCACCAAUCAGCUUCGGCUCAGCAAGGUCACUGUUCAGACUUGACUCGUGAUUGGCUGCUGCGCUUCAGCGUGUUAUUACUGUCUGAUUUGAUCGGAGGCAGGGGGUGGUCUCCAAUCAAACAGAGAAAAGGUCCUGGAGAAGAUGUAUCUUUAAAGCUGUCCUGCUGAAUUGGAAGUCCCUGGAGGGCAGAACUGGCACCCUGUUCAAUCUGGAAUGCCCAGAAAUUCAAUCAACAGAAGUCAGUAUUGAUUUCACACCCUCCUGGACCCCUAUUUGAGUCUCUGUGUGGUGGCCCCUCUCCCCGGAAGUGAAGUCUUCCAGACUAUGAAUCUAUGAGCUAGAAGACAGCUGGGACAGCAAAUUCUUGACUCGCUUAUCAUCAUGUUCCCUUUCCAUGGUCAGCCCAGACUCUGGGCUCCAUCACAACACACUAGUCUGUUCAGCAUGGAGUACCUUUUUUGCCUCUUCUAGUCCAGCCAUCCAGGCAAAUCAAUCAAUACACUAAGUGGCAAUUCAUAAGUGACCCAUCGUGUCAAGCUGGAGAGCAGGAGGGACACCCAGCUUUUUAAAGCGAGCUUAUCAAUCACUGUAUCCCGAAUAAGCAUCUUCAUCCCAGCUACAGAAAAUAGAAGGCUGUAGAAAAGAACAGGAGGCUAGCC
rnacentral:lncRNA from 1 species